GACGAACCGUGCGAACGUUAUUCGGAAUCACUGGGCUUAAAGCGCGUGUAGGCGGGCCGCCGCGUCGGCUGCUGAAAUCCCCCGGCUCAACCGGGGAACGGGCACCGAUACGGGCGGCCUCGAGGGGGGUAGGGGGGUCUGGAACUUCCGGUGGAGCGGUGAAAUGCGUUGAGAUCGGAAGGAACGCCCGUGGCGAAAGCGAGGCCCUGGACCCUUACUGACGCUGAGACGCGAAAGCCAGGGGAGCGAACGGG
rnacentral:rRNA from 1 species